rnacentral:rRNA from 1 species
ACCUUACCAGGCCUUGACAUCCAAUGAACUUUCUACAGAUAGAUUGGUGCCCUCGGGAAAUUGAGACAGGUGCUGCAUGGCUGUCUCACCUCGUGUCGUGAGAUGUUGGGUUAAGUCCCGUAACGAGCGCAACCCUUGUCCUUAGUUACCACCACGUAAUGGUGGGCACUCUAAGGAGACUGCCGGUGACAAACCGGAGGAAGGUGGGGAUGACGUCAAGUCAUCAUGGCCCUUACGGCCUGGGCUACACACGUGCUACAAUGGUCGGUACAAAGGGUUGCCAAGCCGCGAGGUGGAGCUAAUCCCAUAAAACCGAUCUAGUCCGGAUCGCAGUCUGCAACUCGACUGCGUGAAGUCGGAAUCGCUAGUAAUC